AUUGAACGCUGGCGGCAGGCCUAACACAUGCAAGUCGAACGGUAACAGGAAACAGCUUGCUGUUUCGCUGACGAGUGGCGGACGGGUGAGUAAUGUCUGGGAAACUGCCUGAUGGAGGGGGAUAACUACUGGAAACGGUAGCUAACACCGCAUAACGUCGCAAGACCAAAGAGGGGGACCUUCGGGCCUCUUGCCAUCGGAUGUGCCCAGAUGGGAUUAGCUAGUAGGUGGGGUAACGGCUCACCUAGGCGACGAUCCCUAGCUGGUCUGAGAGGAUGACCAGCCACACUGGAACUGAGACACGGUCCAGACUCCUACGGGAGGCAGCAGUGGGGAAUAUUGCACAAUGGGCGCAAGCCUGAUGCAGCCAUGCCGCGUGUAUGAAGAAGGCCUUCGGGUUGUAAAGUACUUUCAGCGGGGAGGAAGGGAGUAAAGUUAAUACCUUUGCUCAUUGACGUUACCCGCAGAAGAAGCACCGGCUAACUCCGUGCCAGCAGCCGCGGUAAUACGGAGGGUGCAAGCGUUAAUCGGAAUUACUGGGCGUAAAGCGCACGCAGGCGGUUUGUUAAGUCAGAUGUGAAAUCCCCGGGCUCAACCUGGGAACUGCAUCUGAUACUGGCAAGCUUGAGUCUCGUAGAGGGGGGUAGAAUUCCAGGUGUAGCGGUGAAAUGCGUAGAGAUCUGGAGGAAUACCGGUGGCGAAGGCGGCCCCCUGGACGAAGACUGACGCUCAGGUGCGAAAGCGUGGGGAGCAAACAGG
rnacentral:rRNA from 1 species